CGGCAUCCUUUCCUCCAAGAACUUGCCACCUUGCUCUUGGGGAGACUCGAACUCACAACCUCUCCGUUGGAAGUGUGAAUUGCUUACUAUCAGAGCAAGACUUCUUGUCUAUGUAGAGAUAGGUACCUAUGUGAUUAUCCAGAAGUGAAGUAAUCAGUUGACUAAAUAUAACAUCGCAUAUCAGCCAAGGUCCCAACAUGAAAGCAUGCGUUUAAAAUAAUCAACAACAUAAAGUAAAAGUUAAAUGAACAAUUAGGAAUCAAAGGGAUAAUUUGACUAGCUUCUCAGUUAACAUCCCAUAAGGAAUAAUUUAGGUUUUUGUCUUUGUAUCAAGCAGUCUGAGAAUAUAGACGGGUGUUGACUCCAUGCGGGUUACAGUGCUGCGGCAUCAUCGAGUCUUGUCUCGAAGCAAGACCCAAGAACGCUCCCAUGUGUCAUGCAAAAUAUAGAUAAGAAAAUAAAGGACAUUAGCAAGGAGAAUUCCAUUCUUGACAUUGCAGAUAUUGACAGUAAGUAAGUAGAACAAAGAAUGCAAUGUAAAAUUCAAUUUUGAACCAUUUAUAAGCUACAGUACCUUCCAUACAAUGCACCAUCCAUAAUAGAAAAGACUUAAGCUUGUAUUCAUUUUUAUACUUGAAAGGAAAACAUACUGAAAUUGAAGUAUAAAACAUUACUGCACCAUUAAUGCAACACAGUACAAUCGUAACAAAACUUAUUACUUUUUCAAAGUAAUAUCUAUUCAAAAUUGUUACCUAAGUAUGUUGAGUUCCAUAUGAUAACUUAUUGACUAUAAAUGGUAAGAUAUAUUAAAAGUAACAGGAAAGAAAGAGGAUUCGUUUACCUCUUCUAGUUAUUAAAUCCUAAUAGAACAUGGUAUCUAGCUAUUCCUAAAAUGGUCUUUUCUACUAUUAGGAAGCAUCACAACACUUCAACAAAGGUAACUCAAGUAUGCAACGGUUAACUCCUCAAAGAUUAGUAUUAUUAUCUUCUAAUAUAGUUUCAAGUGUAAUAUUCAUAUGAUGCCACAGAAAGAGACCAAGGAAUGUGAACUUAAAAGAGAAUUCUAAACAAAACUCCAAGUUGACAGUCAAGAAUCAAAGAUUGCACAAAUGGCAAUGCCGACAAUCAUAAGGAACCUAAAUAUGAUAUCUAGAUUCAUGAAUCGAAAUCACAACAAAUGAAACCUUAUGUGUUCAUAUAAACACUAGUCAAAUAUUCAUCAAUCAAAACUUCUAACAUGCGGCUAAAAAAUUAAAUCCUAAUGGCAUAAUUUCUACACAGGAAAUUUUUGAACUUCUAGAUUCUAAUUAACUGAGUUUACCAUUGCACGUCAAAUACUACCAGUAAAGAAAGAAAGGACUUGAGUUUGAGAGUAACUAACCGUUUGUGGGUAGUGAACGGGGCGUCGAACUCGAAUCUACUCUCUUGUUAUGAACAGAUCCGAACCUCAAAUCGAAUGGGUUUGAACACCUCUAUCGCGGCUAAAGUGCACCGAGACAAUAAAUAAAAGUUUGAAAGUUCUUUCUGAAAGUUUCUAAAGGACGAGAAGAGUGCUAAGACUAAGGAAAACAGUAGUGCUUACAGUAGUGUUCGAGUGGCAGCUCCAACCUGUCGUCUAGGUGGCUCUUGAGCGGGAAUUCUUGAUUUGAUUUUGAAUUUGGUCAAACUAACCGUUGAAUCAGAGAAGAAAACAGAAUCGUGAUUGAGAAGAACCGGUGUUAGCUCAAAAUAGUCGGAUUCCUCUGUCAUGUGAAUUUGUACUUCAUUGAAAUGAUGAAAGAAAACAGAGGAGAGAAAGGAACAUAUGAUGAUUCAAGAAAGCUUGCAUCAAUAGGGUGGACAUCUUCUGAUUAGUGUUGAAGUUCUUUGGAAUUAUC
rnacentral:lncRNA from 1 species